UCGAACGGAGAAUUUAUUUCGGUAAAUUCUUAGUGGCGAACGGGUGAGUAACGCGUAGGCAACCUGCCCUUUGGAUGGGGACAACAUUCCGAAAGGAGUGCUAAUACCGAAUGUGAUCCAUUUCUCGCAUGAGAGAUGGAUGAAAGAUGGCCUCUAUUUAUAAGCUAUCGCCAAAGGAUGGGCCUGCGUCUGAUUAGUUAGUUGGUGGGGUAACGGCUCACCAAGACGAUGAUCAGUAGCCGGUCUGAGAGGAUGAACGGCCACAUUGGGACUGAGACACGGCCCAAACUCCUACGGGAGGCAGCAGUGGGGAAUCUUCCGCAAUGGACGAAAGUCUGACGGAGCAACGCCGCGUGAGUGAUGAAGGUUUUCGGACUGUAAAACUCUGUUGUCAGGGACGAAGGUGCGAUCUGCGAAUAGUUGAUCGUAUUGACGGUACCUGACGAGGAAGCCACGGCUAACUACGUGCCAGCAGCCGCGGUAAUACGUAGGUGGCAAGCGUUGUCCGGAAUUAUUGGGCGUAAAGAGCAUGUAGGUGGGCUUUUAAGUCCGAUGUGAAAAUGCGGGGCUCAACCCCGUAUGGCAUUGGAUACUGGAAGUCUUGAGUGCAGGAGA
rnacentral:rRNA from 1 species